rnacentral:rRNA from 1 species
UUCUGGCUCAGGAUGAACGCUGGCGGCGUGCUUAACACAUGCAAGUCGAACGAGGCUCAUCUGUGGAAGUUUCGGAUGGAACGGAUGUGACCGAGUGGCGGACGGGUGAGUAACGCGUGGGGAACCUGCCCCAUUCCGGGGGAUACCAGUUGGAAACGACUGUUAAUACCGCAUAAGCGCACGGGAAGGCAUCUUCCAGUGUGAAAAACUGAGGUGGAAUGGGAUGGCCCCGCGUCUGAUUAGCCAGUUGGCAGGGUAACGGCCUACCAAAGCGACGAUCAGUAGCCGGCCUGAGAGGGCGACCGGCCACAUUGGGACUGAGACACGGCCCAAACUCCUACGGGAGGCAGCAGUGGGGAAUAUUGCACAAUGGGGGGAACCCUGAUGCAGCGAACGCCGCGUGAGUGAGGAAGUAUUUCGGUAUGUAAAGCUCUAUCAGCAGGGAAGAAGAUGACGGUACCUGCACAAGAAGCCCCGGCUAACUACGUGCCAGCAGCCGC